rnacentral:rRNA from 1 species
GACGAACGCUGGCGGCGUGCCUAAUACAUGCAAGUAGAACGCACAGUUUAUACCGUAGCUUGCUACACCAUAAACUGUGAGUUGCGAACGGGUGAGUAACGCGUAGGUAACCUGCCUGGUAGCGGGGGAUAACUAUUGUAAACGAUAGCUAAUACCGCAUAAUAUUGAUUAUUUCAUGAUAAUUGAUUGAAAGAUGCUAUUGCAUCACUACCAGAUGUACCUGCGUUGUAUUAGCUAGUAGGUGAGGUAACGGCUCACCUAGGCGACGAUACAUAGCCGACCCGAGAGGGUGAUCGGCCACACUGGGACUGAGACACGGCCCAGACUCCUACGGGAGGCAGCAGUAGGGAAUCUUCGGCAAUGGACGAAAGUCUGACCGAGCAACGCCGCGUGAGUGAAGAAGGUUUUCGGAUCGUAAAGCUCUGUUGUAAGAGAAGAACGGGUGUGAGAGUGGAAAGUUCACACUGUGACGGUAUCUUACCAGAAAGGGACGGCUAACUACGUG